rnacentral:snRNA from 1 species
AAAUAUUACAGCUCUUUUAGAACUUACCUAGAAGGUUUGCUGGUUUUUCACUGGAAAACAUAC